CAGUAGCCACGGUAAUACGUAGGGUGCAAGCGUUAAUCGGAAUUACUGGGCGUAAAGCGUGCGCAGGCGGUUAUAUAAGUCAGAUGUGAAAUCCCCGGGCUCAACCUGGGAACUGCAUUUGAGACUGUAUGGCUAGAGUGUGUCAGAGGGGGGUAGAGUUCCACGUGUAGCAGUGAAAUGCGUAGAUAUGUGGAGGAAUACCGAUGGCGAAGGCAGCCCCCUGGGAUAACACUGACGCUCAUGCACGAAAGCGUGGGAAGCAAACAGGAUUAGAUACCCGCGUAGUCCCUGUCUCUUAUAC
rnacentral:rRNA from 1 species